CGCGACCCCAGGUCAGGCGGGGCUACCCGCUGAGUUUAAGCAUAUCAAUAA
rnacentral:rRNA from 4 species